rnacentral:rRNA from 1 species
CGGCCGCGUCGACGUGCAAUUGCAUCACUACCAGAUGGACCUGCGUUGUAUUAGCUAGUUGGUGGGGUAACGGCUCACCAAGGCGACGAUACAUAGCCGACCUGAGAGGGUGAUCGGCCACACUGGGACUGAGACACGGCCCAGACUCCUACGGGAGGCAGCAGUAGGGAAUCUUCGGCAAUGGACGGAAGUCUGACCGAGCAACGCCGCGUGAGUGAAGAAGGUUUUCGGAUCGUAAAGCUCUGUUGUAAGAGAAGAACGAGUGUGAGAGUGGAAAGUUCACACUGUGACGGUAUCUUACCAGAAAGGGACGGCUAACUACGUGCCAGCAGCCGCGGUAAUACGUAGGUCCCGAGCGUUGUCCGGAUUUAUUGGGCGUAAAGCGAGCGCAGGCGGUUAGAUAAGUCUGAAGUUAAAGGCUGUGGCUUAACCAUAGUACGCUUUGGAAACUGUUUAACUUGAGUGCAAGAGGGAGAGUGGAAUUCCAUGUGUAGCGGUGAAAUGCGUAGAUAUAGUGGAGGAACACCGGUGGCGAAACGG